rnacentral:rRNA from 1 species
UACGAAGGGGGCUAGCGUUGCUCGGAAUCACUGGGCGUAAAGCGCACGUAGGCGGACUCUUAAGUCGGUGGUGAAAUCCUGGAGCUCAACUCCAGAACUGCCUUCGAUACUGUUAGUCUUGAGUCCGGGAGAGGUGAGUGGAAUUCCUGGUGUAGCGGUGAAAUGCGUAGAUAUCAGGAGGAACACCGGUGGUGUAGACGGCUCACUGGACCGUAACUGACGCUGAGACACGAAAGCGUGGGUAGCAAACAGG